CACCUCUCCUGGACCCUGUAACCUAUCCCUUUACUUGUUCUCGCGGCCAACAAGAAAGCCCCACCACAGACUUCCCUAGCUUACCAGUGCUCAUCAGGCAGUGAAUGAACACACAGAUCACUGCUCUCCGCCCCACCAGCUCCCGUUCCAGAGGACACGGCCAGUGAGACCACGUGGGAGCCACGGGAGGAUAGCAGAGUACCAGUGGACAGAUGUGGGAAGAUGAGGCACCCCAGAGCGUGGAGCAGAAAUUGUCUGCUGGAUGUGUCAACACCCUGUGCUAUGUCUAAGUUCCUGUGACUGUACCUGCUCUUACCCUCGGAUAUCUAUAUCCCUUGCCCAGCUGUGUAAUCAUUUAUAAUAAAAAUUUAAAAAGCAUCUUUGAAU